AUGAUGAUUUAGAUCUAAUUUGUUUAUGGUUUUUAACUGAAAAACAAUGUAGAAAAUAUUCUAGGGCGGUCUGAUCAA